UCUAGAGUGACUCAGCUGACUUGGGUGAAUGUCCCCUGAAACUGCUAGCUGGAAACCAGCCUGGACAUGUCCUGUCACUCCUACCACCAGGGAACUUCUUUUGCUGUGACAUUGUAAUGGGAGGUGGAGACACCUCGAGGAGAAGGUCGAAACAGACAACAGCAAUUACAGUCAAUAAUAUCUAUGACUUGAGAAAAUGUUGCCUCAAUUACAGAAAGCUCAGGAGGACUGUCCACCCUUCAAAACUGUUUUGAUGUGUUUUAAAUGCAUGAUAUGGAGCACAGCCACUCUCAGUAGGCUGCAGAAAAAGGACGUAAA